AAAUCCUUGGCUCUUAUACAGUCGGGGGAUGACGGUACCGGAAGAAUAAGCACCGGCUAAUUACGUGCCAGCAGCCGCGGUAAUACGUAGGGUGCAAGCGUUAAUCGGAAUUACUGGGCGUAAAGCGUGCGCCGGCGGUUUGCUAAGACCGAUGUGAAAUCCCCGGGCUCAACCUGGGAACUGCAUUGGUGACUGGCAGGCUAGAGUAUGGCAGAGGGGGGUAGAAUUCCACGUGUAGCAGUGAAAUGCGUAGAGAUGUGGAGGAAUACCGAUGGCGAAGGCAGCCCCCUGGGCCAAUACUGACGCUCAUGCACGAAAGCGUGGCGAGCAAACAGGAUUAGAUACCCUGGUAGUCCACGCCCUAAACGAUGUCAACUAGUUGUUGGGGAUUCAUUUCCUUAGUAACGUAGCUAACGCGUGAAGUUGACCGCCUGGGGAGUACGGUCGCAAGAUUAAAACUCAAAGGAAUUGACGGGGACCCGCACAAGCGGUGGAUGAUGUGGAUUAAUUCGAUGCAACGCGAAAAACCUUACCUACCCUUGACAUGGUCGGAAUCCUGCUGAGAGGCGGGAGUGCUCGAAAGAGAACCGGCGCACAGGUGCUGCAUGGCUGUCGUCAGCUCGUGUCGUGAGAUGUUGGGUUAAGUCCCGCAACGAGCGCAACCCUUGUCCUUAGUUGCUACGCAAGAGCACUCUAAGGAGACUGCCGGUGACAAACCGGAGGAAGGUGGGGAUGACGUCAAGUCCUCAUGGCCCUUAUGGGUAGGGCUUCACACGUCAUACAAUGGUCGGAACAGAGGGUUGCCAACCCGCGAGGGGGAGCUAAUCCCAGAAAACCGAUCGUAGUCCGGAUUGCACUCUGCAACUCGAGUGCAUGAAGCUGGAAUCGCUAGUAAUCGCGGAUCAGCAUGCCGCGGUGAAUACGUUCCCGGGUCUUGUACACACCGCCCGUCACACCAUGGGAGUGGGUUUUACCAGAAGUGGCUAGUCUAACCGCAAGGAGGACGGUCACCACGGUAGGAUUCAUGACUGGGGUGAAGUCGUAACAAGAGCCAUCGC
rnacentral:rRNA from 1 species